rnacentral:lncRNA from 1 species
UAAAAUAAUUUCCCUCCCAUGGCAGCUCAACUAGGCCUGAUUGCUGAAUGCAAUUAUUAAAAUCAACAAGGUCCCUUUGCUUCACUUGUUGGCUUGAUUGUCUUUCCUUGCUAGACAGAAUUGCAUUAAAAUCUCCUGCAAUGAUCCAGGGAUCAGUAAUACCAGCAGAUAAGUUUAGAAUAUCCUUCCACAGCAUCCUCCUUUG